UACGAGGGGGGCGAGCGUUGUUCGGAAUUAUUGGGCGUAACGGGUGCGUAGGCGGUUUUGUAAGUCUGAUGUGAAAUCUAUGGGCUCAACUCAUAGCCUGCAUCGGAAACUGCAGGGCUCGAGUGUGGGAGAGGUGAGUGGAAUUCCUGGUGUAGCGGUGAAAUGCGUAGAUAUCAGGAGGAACACCUGUGGCGAAAGCGGCUCACUGGACCACAACUGACGCUGAAGCACGAAAGCUAGGGGAGCAAACAGG
rnacentral:rRNA from 1 species